UAGGGAAUCUUCCGCAAUGGACGAAAGUCUGACGGAGCAACGCCGCGUGAGUGAUGAAGGCUUUCGGGUCGUAAAACUCUGUUGUUAGGGAAGAACAAGUACGAGAGUAACUGCUCGUACCUUGACGGUACCUAACCAGAAAGCCACGGCUAACUACGUGCCAGCAGCCGCGGUAAUACGUAGGUGGCAAGCGUUAUCCGGAAUUAUUGGGCGUAAAGCGCGCGCAGGCGGUUUCUUAAGUCUGAUGUGAAAGCCCACGGCUCAACCGUGGAGGGUCAUUGGAAACUGGGGAACUUGAGUGCAGAAGAGAAAAGCGGAAUUCCACGUGGAGCGGUGAAAUGCGUAGAGAUGUGGAGGAACACCAGUGGCGAAGGCGGCUUUUUGGUCUGUAACUGACGCUGAGGCGCGAAAGCGUGGGGAGCAAACAGG
rnacentral:rRNA from 1 species